rnacentral:rRNA from 1 species
ACUCCUACGGGAGGCAGCAGUGGGGAAUUUUGGACAAUGGGCGAAAGCCUGAUCCAGCAAUGCCGCGUGAGUGAAGAAGGCCUUCGGGUUGUAAAGCUCUUUUGUCAGGGAAGAAACGGUGAGAGCUAAUAUCUCUUGCUAAUGACGGUACCUGAAGAAUAAGCACCGGCUAACUACGUGCCAGCAGCCGCGGUAAUACGUAGGGUGCAAGCGUUAAUCGGAAUUACUGGGCGUAAAGCGUGCGCAGGCGGUUUUGUAAGUCUGAUGUGAAAUCCCCGGGCUCAACCUGGGAAUUGCAUUGGAGACUGCAAGGCUAGAAUCUGGCAGAGGGGGGUAGAAUUCCACGUGUAGCAGUGAAAUGCGUAGAUAUGUGGAGGAACACCGAUGGCGAAGGCAGCCCCCUGGGUCAAGAUUGACGCUCAUGCACGAAAGCGUGGGGAGCAAACAGGAUUAGAUACCCCGGUAGUCCCAUGA